rnacentral:RNase_P_RNA from 1 species
AGGUGGCAAGGCGAUCGCGUGCCGAAAGGCAUGAGGAAAGUCCGAGCACCACAGGGCAGGAUGCCGGCUAACGGCCGGUGGAGGCGACUCCAAGGAAAGUGCAACAGAAAUAAACCGCAGGGGCUUCGGCCUUAAUUGCUUUGACCCGUCAGUCAUCCGUGGCUCACGGAUGGAAAGUGGAAAAGGCACCUGUAAGGAUGGAAAGGCGAGGUAAGAGCUCACCCGCGGCUUGGCGACUUGUCCGCGCUGUAAACCCCAUCCGGUGCAAGAUACGCAGCAGGACACAUGCGGCGGCCCGUCGCGUCCUCAGUAUCGCUGGAGCCUGCGCGGCAACGCCAGGCCUGGAUAGAUGAUCGACCCUCGACAGAACUCGGCUUACUGUCACGCUCG